GACGAACCGUGCGAACGUUGUUCGGAAUUACUGGGCGUAAAGGGCGCGUAGGCGGCCUGUUAAGUCGAACGUGAAAUCCCUGGGCUCAACCCAGGAACUGCGUCCGAUACUGGUUGGCUUGAAUCCGGGAGAGGGACGUGGAAUUCCAGGUGUAGCGGUGAAAUGCGCAGAUAUCAGGAGGAACACCGGUGGCGAAGGCGGGUCUCUGGGCCGAUACUGACGCUGAGGAGCGAAAGCGUGGGGAGCGAACAGG
rnacentral:rRNA from 1 species